rnacentral:rRNA from 1 species
UACGUAGGGGGCAAGCGUUGUCCGGAAUUAUUGGGCGUAAAGCGCGCGCAGGCGGUCGCUUAAGUCUCAUGUUUAAACCCGGGGCUCAACCCCGGGUCGCAUGGGAAACUGUGUCUCUUGAGUGUCGGAGAGGAAAGCGGAAUUCCCGGUGUAGAGGUGAAAUUCGUAGAUAUCGGGAGGAACACCAGUGGCGAAGGCGGCUGCCUGGGGAGUCACUGACGCUGAGGCGCGAAAGCUAGGGGGGCAAACAGG